UGGGGAAUAUUGGACAAUGGGCGAAAGCCUGAUCCAGCCAUGCCGCGUGAGUGAUGAAGGCCUUAGGGUUGUAAAGCUCUGUGGGCGGGGACGAAUAAGGGUUGGCUAAUAUCCAACCUGAUGACGGUACCCGUUUAGCAAGCACCGGCUAACUCU
rnacentral:rRNA from 1 species